rnacentral:rRNA from 1 species
UACGUAGGCAGCAAGCGUUGUUCGGAGUUACUGGGCGUAAAGGGUGCGUAGGCGGCCCUGUAAGUAUGGUGUGAAAUCUCCCGGCUUAACUGGGAGGGUGCGCUAUAGACUGCGGGGCUCGAGUGUGGGAGAGGAAAGUGGAAUUCCUGGUGUAGCGGUGGAAUGCGUAGAUAUCAGGAGGAACACCGGUGGUGUAAACGGCUUUCUGGACCAUAACUGACGCUGAGGCACGAAAGCGUGGGUAGCAAACAGG